CACUAUGCCUAGCCAUAAACAUUGAUAGCGAACUACACCUGCUAUCCGCCUGGGAACUACGAGCAUCAGCUUGAAACCCAAAGGACUUGGCGGUGCUUUAGAUCCACCUAGAGGAGCCUGUUCUAGAACCGAUUACCCCCGUUCAACCUCACCUUUUCUUGUUUUCUCCGCCUAUAUACCACCGUCGUCAGCUUACCCUGUGAAGGACUCAUAGUAAGCAAGAUUGGCAUAGCCCAAAACGUCAGGUCGAGGUGUAGCGUAUGGAAAGGGAAGAAAUGGGCUACAUUCCCUAACACAGUGAAUUACGAACGAUACAUUGAAAUAUCUAUCUGAAGGAGGAUUUAGCAGUAAGCAGAAAAUAGAGCGUUCCGCUGAAACCGGCCCUGAAGCGCGCACACACCGCCCGUCACUCUCCCCAAGCUUAUAACACUAAGUACCUAAAACCUUAAAAC
rnacentral:rRNA from 1 species